CCGGCCCGCCCACGCGGGGCCGCGGCACCUGGGCCCCUCCUCGGCCUUUUCCGGUACCUCGCCGGCUUUCAGAUGCAUUAGUGAGCGGCCUGCAGUCUCCUGUUGUGCUUCUGGUGGCCGCCCUUGGCUCCGUGAUCGUUUCAUUUUGUAGUGAGAUUUAUGGGGCUUCCCACCCCCAAGAUUUACCAAAAGCAGCAUCCGGGGCCGCACGAUAGCCAGCGCUGCCAUCCUGGAGCUCUUGAGUUCUGAGACUGAACACCGCUCCCAAAAGUCACCGAAAUGUCUUCUAAGGGUCUUGAGGACGAACUUAAGAGUCCAUUUUUAAUACGUUCCUUUGGAGAGUGUUAGGCGUGUGGGAAAACGUUGCCAAAGCAGAGAUUUCGAGAUUUGAACGGGCAGAAAACCAAAUUAAAAAAAAACAAACCAGAUAUGGUAAACAACAGGGUCUUUUUAUAAAGUGAUGCUCCGUAUUGGAAUAAAAUACUGCCAGACCUAGGAAGGCUUAUCCUGACUUGCGGUGGCUAAUGGGCCCCGAACUUAGGCAAGACCCUCCCUUCUCUGGGCCUGGUCGUGUCUGUAAAUGGGGCGUCGCUGGAAUGCGGUUCCGACGUGCGGUGGGUCCGUGUUAGCUGGAAAGGGUUAAGCCACCAAAACCGCCUGAGCGUUUAGGAGAGGAGAGAACCUGUAGAUAAAGUGGGAACUUUAUCCUGACCUUGUGGAUCGAAUCCUGGAGUGAAGUUACUCCAUUUCUUUCGCAGAAGAACUUUACAAAGAAAAGAAUUCACCAGACCUUGUGGAAAUCGCUCUGACCUUUGCGAUCUUACUUCAGAUCAGAGUGGGAACUUGGGUAAACCCUACCAUCAAAUAAAUUCCGUGUUCUAAGACCUUGUUUAGUGUCUUAUAAAGCAAAGUAACAGGAUGGUAGUGUGUUUAGCUCAAAACUGACUUAUAUUCUGUCUUCACUUAAAUCCGUAGAGUCUUAGACCAUUUUUUAAAUUUUGGCGUGCAAAACUUUAACCUCAGGAAAUAUGAAGAAUUCUGCGUGAAUACUGUAAGGAGUUUAUCCUUGGGAAUUCCGAAAUGACAGGCUCCCAGAAUCCAAAGAAAGUGGUUCCCUGUUACCCUUACUUUAUGCUAAUCAAGGAGUGGAAUGGGAUGCUGGGUAAUGAUGAGUUUGCUUUUUAUUUUGGAGGAGUAAUUUCAAAACAUUCAGAGAGCCCUGGCCGGGUAAUUCAUUUAGGUGGAGCAUCAUCCUGUAAAGUGGAGGGUUGUGGGCUUGAUUCCUGGGCAGGGCACAUGCCUAGGUUGUGGGUCUCAUCGCCCUGGAGCGCUUGCAGGAGGCAAUCGGUGGGUUUCUCUCUCACAGGAGAGGGCCUGAAUACCGAAAAUAAAAACAUGGGUCCCUGUUUCUUCCAGAGGUGGAAUCUGUCUUCUUAAAGUAUGGACUUUGAUCCUAAACAAAAUGUUUGCUUCUCAGUAGUUAUUGAGCACAUUUAUGAGGAACCAGUGACCACUAGGCUAUAGUAUAAGUUCAGAAAAAAGCAAGAGCCACCAAGCUAGGUCGUUCCCUUUUAGCUAAUGAUAACUAGACUAGACAACAUCAGGAGGGAUGAGAGAAGGUACCUAAAAUAUUUAAUCAUCUCCUGUUUUUGUUAUUGUUAUGGCAAACUUAUUACAUGCCAGGCACUGUUUUAAGUGUUUUGCACAGGUUUCUUACUUUAAUCCUCAUAACCAGUAAAUUAGGUGCAACUAUUCCCAUUUUACAGAUGUGGAAUCUGGGGCACAAAGAGGUUAAGGAACUUGCCUGCAGAGCUAGAAGUGGCAGUGCUGAAAUUUGAACCCAGGCAGUGUGGCUUCAAAGCCUGCCUCCCUAACAAUUGUGCCAUACCACUGUGUGUGUGUGUGUGUGUGUGUGUGUGUGUUCUAAUUAGGUGAAAUCAAAGCUGGUUUACUACCGAAAGAGUCAAAUGCAGGCUGAAGGGAAGUCUGUACUGAUGUGCCAUUUCGUUCUACCCCAACUUUGUACUUUUCAGAAGUUGAUGAAAUUAUAAAAUGUGUCCCUGACCUAACUCUGGGACCGCUUUGUGGAGUGGAUGGGUUGAAUCAGAAUCCUGAUCAAUCCCAACCUGCUGGAAUGGUGAAUCAGCUUUUACAAAAAGAGACACAAUGUCUUGCUGAGGUGUGGAAAAAUCAAUGAUACACGUGAGAGAUAAUAAAAGGGCAGUUUUCAUUGAUGGUGAACUCAGUAUGAAUCGGCUGGAUACUGUGAGUGCCCUACAGCUAAUGUAUUGGGUUCUGUACUGUGUCUCCAGAAUGAGGAAGUAGAUAGCCCAGCUCAGUUUCAGGAUGAUGAGGCUAUAUCUGAAGUAUUUUUGUUUGUUUGUUUGCUUCUGAGCACCAAAAAUGACCAAAUAGUGAGGAAAUUUGAAGUCAUACUAUAUGAAGAGUAGUUAAAUGAACUGGCUUCUUCUGUAUCUUUGUGUUUACAGUUUCUAGUGAAUGUGCACAGUGAGUACCCAGUAAUACAUGGUGAAUACACACACUUAAGCAUUAUUGAAUGUAGCCUUUAAAUGGUUAUGAUGGAAUCAUAAUACCCAAAGCAAUCUAUACAUUCAGUGCAAUCCCUAUUAAAAUACCAAUGGCAUAUUUCACAGAUCUAGAACAGCACUCCAUAAAUUCAUAUGGAACCAAAAAAGAUACCGAAUAACUGCAGCAAUCUUGAGAAAGAACAAAGUUAGAGGAAUCACAAUACCAGAUUUCAAGUUAUACUACAAAGCCACUGCACUCAAAACAGUCUGGUACUGGCAUAAGAACAGGCACAAAGAACAGAACAGAUACCCCAGAAAGCAACCAAGCCAUUACACUCAAUUAAUAUUUGACAGAGGAGGCAAGGAUAUACAAUGGAGUAUAGACAGCCUCUUCAAUAAAUGGUGCUGGGAAAAUUGGACAGGAACAUGCAAAAAAAAUGAAA